rnacentral:sRNA from 1 species
CCCCUCUGCUUCUCACCCCGGUGAGUAACGUCUGAAGCUUCUGCUCGCAUUGAGUCUGAAUCGUUCUUUUAAUUUAAGGUACCCCAGAGUUCAUGGCCCCUGAGAUGUAUGAGGAGAAAUAUGAUGAAUCCGUUGACGUUUAUGCUUUUGGGAUGUGCAUGCUUGAGAUGGCUACAUCUGAAUAUCCUUACUCGGAGUGCCAAAAUGCUGCGCAGAUCUACCGUCGCGUGACCAGUGGGGUGAAGCCAGCCAGUUUUGACAAAGUAGCAAUUCCUGAAGUGAAGGAAAUUAUUGAAGGAUGCAUACGACAAAACAAAGAUGAAAGAUAUUCCAUCAAAGACCUUUUGAACCAUGCCUUCUUCCAAGAGGAAACAGGAGUACGGGUAGAAUUAGCAGAAGAAGACGAUGGAGAAAAAAUAGCCAUAAAAUUAUGGCUACGUAUUGAAGAUAUUAAGAAAUUAAAGGGAAAAUACAAAGAUAAUGAAGCUAUUGAGUUUUCUUUUGAUUUAGAGAGAGAUGUCCCAGAAGAUGUUGCACAAGAAAUGGUAGAGUCUGGGUAUGUCUGUGAAGGUGAUCACAAGACCAUGGCUAAAGCUAUCAAAGACAGAGUAUCAUUAAUUAAGAGGAAACGAGAGCAGCGGCAGUUGGUACGGGAGGAGCAAGAAAAA